rnacentral:rRNA from 1 species
UGAGUAACCUGCCCUUAACUCUGGGAUAAGCCUGGGAAACUGGGUCUAAUACCGGAUAUGACUCCUCAUCGCAUGGUGGGGGGUGGAAAGCUUUAUUGUGGUUUUGGAUGGACUCGCGGCCUAUCAGCCUGUUGGUGAGGUAAUGGCUCACCAAGGCGACGACGGGUAGCCGGCCUGAGAGGGUGACCGGCCACACUGGGACUGAGACACGGCCCAAACUCCGUACGGGAGGCAG